GGGGAUUUAGCUCAGUGGUAGAGCGCUUGCCUAGGAAGCGCAAGGCCCUGGGUUCGGUCCCCAGCUCCG
rfam:Rattus norvegicus chromosome 1, whole genome shotgun sequence.